AAAAUAAUAUUUUUUUUUGCCUAAGUAAUGGUAUUCUUUCAAAAAAGAAAAAAAUAAUUAAUUCAUUUUCUUUGUCUUCUUCUUCGUUGUUUACUUCAAUCUCUCUGUUCAUCCUCCAUCUUCUACUUCAGUUUGGUUUUUUUUUUUCAUCUUAUUCAUCCCAAUCGAAGAAACCACAUAAGGAUGGGAUCUCGUCUUUCCCAAACUCCUCCAUUUUGCACUCUGUAUAUCAAUCAUCAUCGUCUCCACCAAACCCUAAACCACGAUCUCUCCUUGAACGACGAUUACGUCUCAUAAUCAUCUCCGCAAGACCUCGCAAACCCCUCAAUUUCACUCCUUCGUGCGUCUCCUCAGAUCCCAACGCCUCUGAUUCGAUAAAGAGAGACGAAUGCACCAGUAGCCAUGGCUGAACAGGUUCUGUUUCUUCUUUCUCUGUCUCUUUGUUUAUAUACUUCUUACAAAUAUUCUCAUCCUCUUCUCUCUCUUGCAGGCUGAGACAGCUUUUCUUAAGCGUUUGAUCGGAAAACGGUAAUAAAUAAGAUGUGGGUUUAAACAAAGACGUUUUAUUAAUGGUCGAAGAAAAACGUUUAGUCGGUUACAAAGGAAAAGAAGAGAGUGCGACAGAAAGGAAGCCGGUGGCUCGAUGAGCUACCGGAAAAGUACAACUAACGGCGAGAUGAAGCAAAGGUGAAAACCCUAAUCUAGCCGCCAAGUAUUAGUCAGUGAUUUCGGAUCCUUCUCUCGUUGUCUCCCCUCUCCCUUAUAUAGACGUCCUGAUGCCUCGUCCUUGACCUAAUUUACGCCAUCUUGGUGGGCCUCCUCUGCUGGGCCGAGAAGCCCGUAAGCGUCCGAGCAGCCGCUGAGCCGAAUGUACUUUAGUCGAUGAUGAUUGACAAAAAGUACUCAAGAGUCAAGCCGAGAGACCUGACUCUUGAGCCGACCGAUCGAGCCGUCGCUCUACCUUAUCCGGGCCAGUCCUUUCUAUUCCUCAGGCCUUGUGGGAUGGUCAAAUCCGUCCUCUACAGUAAGUCCCCCCCCCAGUCCAUUAGUGAGCGAAGUGCUUUCUGGCUCGUGAUGGAUUCUAAGGUUUGAAGGUUUGAGGGAAUAGAAGGCCUGUCGGAAGGUUGGAGCGGUUGGUCGAUGAGUCGCACAACGUCGUUCUCUCGGAAGCGAGCAGUAGAGGCUUUAUCGCUCCUUUUGAUCGUUGUGUCGCAGGGAGGCCGACCGACAUAUCUAGAUUAACCGUUGGUUUGUUCCGAUUUUAAGAUGACCGACGUCCGAUCUAGACGAGAAGCGGAACCGUCGUGAGGGUCCGCUGGACAUUUGGGAGAGUUUCGAGGCCCAUUUAGGCCCGUUUAGGCUUAAUGACGACACCUCGAAUUCCCCCCCUUUUUUUCUCUUUUAAAUGCACCGAGAAGUCGAAACGUCGCGAGGGUCCGUUGGGUUUUUAGGGCGGAUUUCGAGGCCCGUUUAGGCCCGAAUAGACCUAAUGAUGGCGCACGACAGCCUUCAAAUGCACAAGUUCUUGUUGAUCUUGAAGAGGAUGACAAACUUGAAAGAGGUAAAAAUAUUAGUUCUUACUUCAAUCUUUCUUAUUGCUUACAAUAUAAACGUACAUUUUAAACAUUGUUUCUAACUUCCAUUUUGCAGAGAAUGAAGAUGCCCCCCCUCUCUUUUCCUUAUAAAUACGCAGAUCCCCUCUCAUUUCUUAUAGUUUUUCUCCGCGAUCAAAGGUACUUUGUCUCUCUUUCCUUUAUCUCUCUAAGCGUUGUUAGAUUCAUUCGAAGCAUUCUUCACCGUUCCGUUCCGCGAUGUCGUCGGGUCAGAGGCUAUCGAAGCAACAGAAGGGAAAGGCAGUCGCAGCGACGUCGAAUCCGACAAGGAAUCCCGACGGGGGUCGUGUCGGAGAUCCGGAGGCGAUUCAUCGCGCGGUGAUGAUGGAUACGCUGCAUUGCUUCCUGCAACUUUUGCGUCCAGUGUAAGAACCUUCGCUGAUGUUGCAAUGUUGUACCCUUCUUUCUUAGUUUUCAAUUCUGCUAGGUAGUUAAAAGUCUCUGCCUUUGCUCUGUUCUUGGCUAAAGUUUGUCUUUUUGCCUUGUUCUUGGCUAAAGUUAUACUUUUUCCCCUGUUUUUGUUACCAUCUCUAUGCUCUAUGUUACAAUUUUAAGUCUGACUUUAAAAAAGAAGUUUAGUUUGAUCAAGAUGAAGCCUCUCAUUCUUAGCUAAAGUUAACUUAAUGAUCAUUCUUCUGUUCCAAACUAGGUUCCGCUAGUUGUUAUUGUUUUUGUCUCAGUUUUUAACCAAGCAUGUGUUCUUAUAGACAGAUGAGCUUAAAGCAGUUGGAGUUGAUGAAGUGGUUCUGGCCAUCAAUUACCAACCAGAAGUGAUGCUUAACUUUUUGAAAGACUUUGAAGCAAAGCUGGAAAUCAAAAUCACUUUCUCACAAGAGACUGAGCGUAUGGGUACGAUUGAGUCCAGCUUGGGAAAUAUUAAGGAAGUUAUUAGUCUUAUAUAUGUUGGUAUAUUUGUUAACUUAUGAAUUAUUUUGGCCUUAUGUAUAUUUUGGAUGGUAGUUAGUGAAUGUAGUGGUUGCCUUGGAGAAGCAGAGGAAGUCCGAUUGCCAUUGAUAUUAUUAUGGCAUUUGUAGCUUUUAUAUGUUGGAUCACUUCUGGUUUCUAAUGAGUAAUGAGCAAGAUUAUGUCUAAAAUGGUCAAUGAAAAUUUAUUUUAGUUAUUUACUUACUGAUAAUAAUUAACCAUAAAAUCCAAAGAUAACACAAAAGUAAUAUCAUAAAAAAGAAAAUCCAACACUAAUAAUAAAUCUAACAAAAAUAAUAUUUUUUUACUUCAUGUUCUAAACCCUAAACAUUCCCUAAACCCUGAAUUUAUCUUUUAACUCCAAACUCUAUUUUUAAACAUUAAAAUCAUUGUUUACAUAAAAUAUAAUAUUUUAAAAUGUAUAGUCUAUGAAAAUAAUUAAGUUUUAAGAGUUGUGAUUAAAGUUUUAGGUUUCAACCCUAGCCCCUACACUAAACUUUAAAACUUCAAUAUUUUGAUAGUAUAUAACUUAAAUCUUAAAUUUUAACUAAAAUUAGAUCUUUUUCAAUGU
rnacentral:lncRNA from 1 species